CCGAAUUCGUCGACAACAGAGUUUGAUCCUGGCUCAGCCGAAUUCGUCGACAACAGAGUUUGAUCCUGGCUCAGGAUGAACGCUAGCGGCAGGCCUAAUACAUGCAAGUCGAACGGACCUUAACCUUUCGGGGUUUUGGUUAGUGGCGCACGGGUGCGUAACGCGUAUGCAACCUACCUUCCACAGGGGGAUAGCCCGGGGAAACCCGGAUUAAUACCGCAUGACAUCGUUUGAGGGCAUCCGAAGACGAUCAAAGCCGAGGCGGUGGAAGAUGGGCAUGCGUGCCAUUAGCUAGUUGGCGGGGUAAAGGCCCACCAAGGCUACGAUGGCUAGGGGUUCUGAGAGGAUGGUCCCCCACACUGGUACUGAGACACGGACCAGACUCCUACGGGAGGCAGCAGUAGGGAAUAUUGGGCAAUGGCCGAGAGGCUGACCCAGCCAUGCCGCGUGCAGGAAGAAGGCCUUCUGGGUUGUAAACUGCUUUUACCAGGGAAGAAAACGCUCCUGCGGGAGUAACUGACGGUACCUGGUGAAUAAGCACCGGCUAACUCCGUGCCAGCAGCCGCGGUAAUACGGAGGGUGCAAGCGUUGUCCGGAUUUAUUGGGUUUAAAGGGUGCGUAGGCGGCCCGUUAAGUCAGCGGUGAAAUCCCAGGGCUCAACCCUGGAACUGCCGUUGAUACUGGCGGGCUUGAGUUCGGUCGAGGCGGGCGGAACUUGGUGGUGUA
rnacentral:rRNA from 1 species